rnacentral:rRNA from 1 species
CCUACGGGCGGCAGCAGUGAGGAAUAUUGGUCAAUGGACGAGCGUCUGAACCAGCCAAGUAGCGUGAAGGAUGACUGCCCUAUGGGUUGUAAACUUCUUUUAUAUGGGAAUAAAACGUUCCACGUGUGGGAUUUUGUAUGUACCAUAUGAAUAAGGAUCGGCUAACUCCGUGCCAGCAGCCGCGGUAAUACGGAGGAUCCGAGCGUUAUCCGGAUUUAUUGGGUUUAAAGGGAGCGUAGGUAGAUUGUUAAGUCAGUUGUGAAAGUUUGCGGCUCAACCGUAAAAUUGCAGUUGAAACUGGCAGUCUUGAGUACAGUAGAGGUGGGCGGAAGUCGUGGUGUAGCGGUGAAAUGCUUAGAUAUCACGAAGAACUCCGAUUGCGAAGGCAGUUCACUGGACUGCAACUGACACUGAGGCUCGAAAGUGUGGGUAUCAAACAGGAUUAGAUACCCUUGUAGUC